AGCAGCCGCGGUAAUUCCAGCUCCAAUAGCGUAUAUUAAAGUUGUUGCAGUUAAAAAGCUCGUAGUUGAAUUUCGGGGUCAGUAGGCUGGUCGUGCCACAGGUAUGUACUGGUCUUACUGAUUCCUCCUUCCUGAUGAGCCGUAAUGCCAUUAAUUUGGUGUUGCGGGGAAUCUGGACUGUUACUUUGAAAAAAUUAGAGUGUUUAAAGCAGGCUAACGCUUGAAUACAUUAGCAUGGAAUAAUGAAAUAGGACGAUCGAUCCUAUUUUGUUGGUUUCUAGGAUUGACGUAAUGAUUAAUAGGGAUAGUUGGGGGCGAUUAGUAUUCAAUUGUCAGAGGUGAAAUUCUUGGAUUUAUUGAAGACUAACUACUGCGAAAGCAUUUGCCAAGGAUGUUUUCAUUAAUCAAGAACGAAAGUUAGGGGAUCGAAGACGAUCAGAUACCGUCGUAGUCUUAACCAUAAACUAUGGCCCGACUAGGGUANCGGGUAUGAUGUUUAAACUUUUUUUAAAUUGACUCC
rnacentral:rRNA from 1 species